GACGAACGCUGGCGGCGUGCUUAACACAUGCAAGUCGAACGGAAAGGCCCUGCUUUUGUGGGGUGCUCGAGUGGCGAACGGGUGAGUAACACGUGAGUAACCUGCCCUUGACUUUGGGAUAACUUCAGGAAACUGGGGCUAAUAUCGGAUAGGAGCUCCUGCUGCAUGGGGGGGGUUGGAAAGUUUCGGCGGUUGGGGAUGGACUCGCGGCUUAUCAGCUUGUUGGUGGGGUAGUGGCUUACCAAGGCUUUGACGGGUAGCCGGCCUGGGAGGGUGACCGGCCACAUUGGGACUGAGAUACGGCCCAGACUCCUACGGGAGGCAGCAGUGGGGAAUAUUGCACAAUGGGCGGAAGCCUGAUGCAGCAACGCCGCGUGCGGGAUGACGGCCUUCGGGUUGUAAACCGCUUUCGCCUGUGACGAAGCGUGAGUGACGGUAAUGGGUAAAGAAGCACCGGCUAACUACGUG
rnacentral:rRNA from 1 species